rfam:Schistosoma mansoni, Puerto Rico, WGS project CABG01000000 data, contig: 0062
AUCCAGCUGUCGAGUCGCAAAUAGGACGAAAGGCGUGUUCUGUAU